rnacentral:rRNA from 1 species
AAUUAACACAACAAAAUUAUCUGCCAGAGAACUACUAGCAAUAGCUUAAAACUCAAAGGACUUGGCGGUGCUUUACACCCCUCUAGAGGAGCCUGUUCUAUAAUCGAUAAACCCCGAUACACCUCACCACUUCUAGCUAAAUCAGUCUAUAUACCGCCAUCUUCAGCAAACCCUCAAAAAAGGAAGGAAAGUAAGCACGAUAAUAAUACAUAAAAAAGUUAGGUCAAGGUGUAACCUAUGAAGUGGGAAGAAAUGGGCUACAUUUUCUAAUCAAGAACACACUCACGAAAGUCUUUAUGAAAUCUAGAGACUAAAGGUGGAUUUAGUAGUAAAUUAAGAAUAGAGAGCUUAAUUGAAUAGGGCCAUGAAGCACGCACACACCGCCCGUCACCCUCCUUGAGCAAUAUACCCAAAUACUACAUAAUUUAUAAACUGAACUAAAGCAAGAGGAGACAAGUCGUCAACAAGGUAAGCAUACUGGAAAGUGUGCUUGGAUAAAU